rnacentral:rRNA from 1 species
GCAGGCCUAACACAUGCAAGUCGAACGGUAACAGGAAGCAGCUUGCUGCUUCGCUGACGAGUGGCGGACGGGUGAGUAAUGUCUGGGAAACUGCCUGAUGGAGGGGGAUAACUACUGGAAACGGUAGCUAAUACCGCAUAACGUCGCAAGACCAAAGAGGGGGACCUUCGGGCCUCUUGCCAUCGGAUGUGCCCAGAUGGGAUUAGCUAGUAGGUGGGGUAACGGCUCACCUAGGCGACGAUCCCUAGCUGGUCUGAGAGGAUGACCAGCCACACUGGAACUGAGACACGGUCCAGACUCCUACGGGAGGCAGCAGUGGGGAAUAUUGCACAAUGGGCGCAAGCCUGAUGCAGCCAUGCCGCGUGUAUGAAGAAGGCCUUCGGGUUGUAAAGUACUUUCAGCGGGGAGGAAGGCGAUAAGGUUAAUAACCUUGUCGAUUGACGUUACCCGCAGAAGAAGCACCGGCUAACUCCGUGCCAGCAGCCGCGGUAAUACGGAGGGUGCAAGCGUUAAUCGGAAUUACUGGGCGUAAAGCGCACGCAGGCGGUCUGUCAAGUCGGAUGUGAAAUCCCCGGGCUCAACCUGGGAACUGCAUUCGAAACUGGCAGGCUAGAGUCUUGUAGAGGGGGGUAGAAUUCCAGGUGUAGCGGUGAAAUGCGUAGAGAUCUGGAGGAAUACCGGUGGCGAAGGCGGCCCCCUGGACAAAGACUGACGCUCAG